rnacentral:lncRNA from 1 species
CGGUUUCGUGGCUGACAGUUCUGGGGUGGUUGAAGGUAGGCUGAGGUUCGUUGGUCUGGGGUUCUUCUACCACCGGUGACACGUUGGCGGGGGUGUUAAGGCCCCGUUGCUGCAUUAUCUGCCCCAGCCAGUGGGCGGUGCUCUGUAGUUGGAGGGCCAUGGUUUGGAGGUCUUGGUUGGACAAGGUGGCGGCGGAAGCAUUCCCCACCAGGCUUAGCGAGGGGUUGAAAGGGAUUGGUGGUUG